rnacentral:rRNA from 1 species
GAUGAACGCUGGCGGCGUGCCUAAUACAUGCAAGUCGAGCGAAUGGAUUAAGAGCUUGCUCUUAUGAAGUUAGCGGCGGACGGGUGAGUAACACGUGGGUAACCUGCCCAUAAGACUGGGAAAACUCCGGGAAACCGGGGCUAAUACCGGAUAACAUUUUGAACCGCAUGGUUCGAAAUUGAAAGGCGGCUUCGGCUGUCACUUAUGGAUGGACCCGCGUCGCAUUAGCUAGUUGGUGAGGUAACGGCUCACCAAGGCAACGAUGCGUAGCCGACCUGAGAGGGUGAUCGGCCACACUGGGACUGAGACACGGCCCAGACUCCUACGGGAGGCAGCAGUAGGGAAUCUUCCGCAAUGGACGAAAGUCUGACGGAGCAACGCCGCGUGAGUGAUGAAGGCUUUCGGGUCGUAAAAUUCUGUUGUUAGGGAAGAACAAGUGCUAGUUGAAUAAGCUGGCACCUUGACGGUACCUAACCAGAAGGCCACGGCUAACUACGUGCCAGCCGCCGCUGUAA